UACAGCUGGAUGCCCUUCCUAACGCCAACCACUCCGAGAGUGUAGUGGGUGAUUUUAUGUGCCACCGACACAGGUGCCAGACGAGGCUGGCAGGCACAAUUCCUGGCAAGGUUAUUUUUGGAAGACUAGCAGUUACUCAUGCAUACCAGCCUCCCCUCUCCAUGCCACUGAUGUUAUCCAAGGGAAAGGCAAAGGCCAAUACAGCUUGGCAUCAGUGAUGUCACAACUCAUUUCUACAGCUGAGUGAACUGUAGCAAUGUGAAAUAAAGUGUCUUGCUCAAGAACACAACACAGUCCUGUCCAAGAAUCAAACUCACUACCUCAUGAUUGUGACCCCGAUGCUCUAACCACUUUACAAGUAUAUACAGUUCAUAUUCUAUUUAGAAAGUCCAUGUUUUUCACCUAUCUCUUAACUCCAGAGACUGGUUGGGGAAGGGAAGAAAAAAAAGGAAGAAGUCACAACUUGUCAAGUACCAAAAAUAUUUGGUUUUUGAUAACCCAUUUUCACAAUGUUCUGCUAAGUGGUUUUUGAACCUGGAGCCACAUGAUUUUGAAAAAAACUUUCACCAAAUGUCCAUACCUGCUCUCACUUGUUUAAGCCCAAGAACUGUGACUAUCACAUCUCUUAAGAUGUAUACAGAUGGGAGGAAAAAAUUGUGAUAUAUAGUUUGAUCAUAAAUUACAUGAAAUAUUUAAUGUAAACCUGUAUGAAUACAGUAUAUGAAAUUUAGUUUGAAUUACCUAGAAAUGUCAGAGUAAAUUAACACAAGCUAUGCUCAGUGAUUCCCAAUCUUUCUCACUUCAUGGCAUACUGAGCAUGAAAUAAGACCUAUUAAGAAACUGUUAUACAGUAAUGAAUUUAGUUUAAUAUAUUAACUUUUAUUUGUCAGUUAUCUAGCUUAAUAUUUCGUCUUUGUAGAAUAAAAGUUUUAUAUUUUAGGAUGAGUGGAGAGGCAGUAAGGGAAGUUAUGAUGUUUAAGCUUUUCCAGAGGGCAUUAGUAAUGUAAAGACUAUGAGAGUUUCAAAGAUUUAAUUCAGAUGUUGCUUGCCUUUCGUUUUAUGAUAGUUGUUAAUAUAAGCUAAGUUGGUAAUGAUUUUAUUAGGAAAUAAUAUCGUUACAUAUCUGGGCAAAUGAUAAACACAAAGACAGAGUUAUCAAAGAAAGAAUAGGCUUUUUAUACCAAAUUUAUUCAGUAAAUGAGCAAGUACAUAGCACUUGAUACGAGGUUUGUUGAAGUCCAGGCUGAAAUGAUAUUGUUGGCAACUGAGCCAGCACAUAAGAUCUAUACAGAAUUUUAAGACAACUGGACACAAAAAAAGAAAAAAAUGAUGUAAACAUUGAAUGGGGA